GACGAACGCUGGCGGCGUGCCUAAUACAUGCAAGUCGAACGAACUCUGGUAUUGAUUGGUGCUUGCAUCAUGAUUUACAUUUGAGUGAGUGGCGAACUGGUGAGUAACACGUGGGAAACCUGCCCAGAAGCGGGGGAUAACACCUGGAAACAGAUGCUAAUACCGCAUAACAACUUGGACCGCAUGGUCCGAGCUUGAAAGAUGGCUUCGGCUAUCACUUUUGGAUGGUCCCGCGGCGUAUUAGCUAGAUGGUGGGGUAACGGCUCACCAUGGCAAUGAUACGUAGCCGACCUGAGAGGGUAAUCGGCCACAUUGGGACUGAGACACGGCCCAAACUCCUACGGGAGGCAGCAGUAGGGAAUCUUCCACAAUGGACGAAAGUCUGAUGGAGCAACGCCGCGUGAGUGAAGAAGGGUUUCGGCUCGUAAAACUCUGUUGUUAAAGAAGAACAUAUCUGAGAGUAACUGUUCAGGUAUUGACGGUAUUUAACCAGAAAGCCACGGCUAACUACGUACCAGCAGCCGCGGUAAUACGUAGGUGGCAAGCGUUGUCCGGAUUUAUUGGGCGUAAAGCGAGCGCAGGCGGUUUUUUAAGUCUGAUGUGAAAGCCUUCGGCUCAACCGAAGAAGUGCAUCGGAAACUGGGAAACUUGAGUGCAGAAGAGGACAGUGGAACUCCAUGUGUAGCGGUGAAAUGCGUAGAUAUAUGGAAGAACACCAGUGGCGAAGGCGGCUGUCUGGUCUGUAACUGACGCUGAGGCUCGAAAGUAUGGGUAGCAAACAGGAUUAGAUACCCUGGUAGUCCAUACCGUAAACGAUGAAUGCUAAGUGUUGGGGGGUUUCCGCCCUUCAGUGCUGCAGCUAACGCAUUAAGCAUUCCGCCUGGGGAGUACGGCCGCAAGGCUGAAACUCAAAGGAAUUGACGGGGGCCCGCACAAGCGGUGGAGCAUGUGGUUUAAUUCGAAGCUACGCGAAGAACCUUACCAGGUCUUGACAUACUAUGCAAAUCUAAGAGAUUAGACGUUCCCUUCGGGGACAUGGAUACAGGUGGUGCAUGGUUGUCGUCAGCUCGUGUCGUGAGAUGUUGGGUUAAGUCCCGCAACGAGCGCAACCCUUAUUAUCAGUUGCCAGCAUUAAGUUGGGCACUCUGGUGAGACUGCCGGUGACAAACCGGAGGAAGGUGGGGAUGACGUCAAAUCAUCAUGCCCCUUAUGACCUGGGCUACACACGUGCUACAAUGGAUGGUACAACGAGUUGCGAACUCGCGAGAGUAAGCUAAUCUCUUAAAGCCAUUCUCAGUUCGGAUUGUAGGCUGCAACUCGCCUACAUGAAGUCGGAAUCGCUAGUAAUCGCGGAUCAGCAUGCCGCGGUGAAUACGUUCCCGGGCCUUGUACACACCGCCCGUCACACCAUGAGAGUUUGUAACACCCAAAGUCGGUGGGGUAACCUUUUAGGAACCAGCCGCCUAAGGUGGGACAGAUGAUUAGGGUG
rnacentral:rRNA from 1 species